UCCUGACUGGCUCAGUGAGUGGAGCAUGAAACUCUUAAUCUCGGGGUUGUGAGUUCAAGCCCCACAUUAGGUG
rnacentral:tRNA from 1 species